rnacentral:rRNA from 1 species
UACAGAGGUCUCAAGCGUUGUUCGGAUUCAUUGGGCGUAAAGGGUGCGUAGGUGGCGAGGUUAGUCAGGUGUGAAAUCUCGGGGCUCAACCCCGAAACUGCACUUGAUACUGCCUUGCUAGAGUACUGGAGAGGAGAUUGGAAUUUACGGUGUAGCAGUGAAAUGCGUAGAUAUCGUAAGGAAGACCAGUGGCGAAGGCGAAUCUCUGGACAGUUACUGACACUGAGGCAACGAA